rnacentral:tRNA from 1 species
GGAGAGAUGCCGGAGUGGUCGAACGGGCUCGCCUGGAAAGUGAGUGUGGUUGGAAACAGCUACCUAGGGUUCGAAUCCCUAUCUCUCCGCCA